UACGUAGGCGGCAAGCGUUGUCCGGAUUUACUGGGCGUAAAGGGCGUGCAGGCGGUUUGUUUAGUCUAGGGUGAAAGCUCCCGGCUUAACUGGGAGAGGUCCUUGGAUACUGGCAAACUUGAGGGAGGCAGAGGAAAGUGGAAUUCCCGGUGUAGUGGUGAUAUGCGUAGAUAUCGGGAGGAACACCAGUGGCGAAGGCGGCUUUCUGGGCCUUACCUGACGCUGAGACGCGAAAGCGUGGGGAGCGAACCGG
rnacentral:rRNA from 1 species